rnacentral:rRNA from 1 species
GGAGGGAUCAUUACCGAGUUUACAACUCCCAAACCCAAUGUGAACGUUACCAAACUGUUGCCUCGGCGGGAUCUCUGCCCCGGGUGCGUCGCAGCCCCGGACCAAGGCGCCCGCCGGAGGACCAACCAAAACUCUUAUUGUAUACCCCCUCGCGGGUUUUUUACUAUCUGAGCCAUCUCGGCGCCCCUCGUGGGCGUUUCGAAAAUGAAUCAAAACUUUCAACAACGGAUCUCUUGGUUCUGGCAUCGAUGAAGAACGCAGCGAAAUGCGAUAAGUAAUGUGAAUUGCAGAAUUCAGUGAAUCAUCGAAUCUUUGAACGCACAUUGCGCCCGCCAGUAUUCUGGCGGGCAUGCCUGUCCGAGCGUCAUUUCAACCCUCGAACCCCUCCGGGGGGUCGGCGUUGGGGAUCGGCCCUUUACGGGGCCGGCCCCGAAAUACAGUGGCGGUCUCGCCGCAGCCUCUCCUGCGCAGUAGUUUGCACACUCGCAUCGGGAGCGCGGCGCGUCCACAGCCGUUAAACACCCCAAACUUCUGAAAUGUGACCUCGAUCAGG